CAGCUCUCCUGGGGGAUCUCCACCAUGGCCUGGGCUCUGCUCCUCCUCACCCUCCUCACUCAGGGCUCCGGUUCCUGGGCCCAGGCUCCCCUGACUCAGCCGCCCUCAGUGUCUGGGGCUCUGGGCCAGUCGGUCACCAUCACCUGUGCCGGAAGCAGCAAUGAUGUCGGUUAUAGUAACAAUGUUUCCUGGUACCAACAACAACCAGGCAUGGCCCCCAAAAUGCUGAUAUAUGAUGACAGUAACAGGCCUUCCGGGAUCCCUGACCGCUUCUCUGGCAGCAAGUCCGGCAACACGGCCUCCCUGACCAUCUCUGGGCUCCAGCCUGAGGACGAGGCGGAUUAUUACUGUGCUUCGUAUAGGAAGCCUAACAGUAUGCACAGUGGUGCAAGUUCAUGGGGAAGUGAGACCAAAACCUGCCCUGUGUCUCAGGCUCCCUCCUUCUCUGAAUCUGCUUCCCCAGCCUAA